UCCCUGAUGGUCCAGCAGUUAGGACUCGGCACUUUUACUGCCAAGGGCCUGAGUUUGAUCUCCAGUCAGGGAA
rnacentral:tRNA from 1 species